CGAGGACUUUCUUUUUCUUAUAUUUGCUGCCCUUCUUAAGCAAGGGACAGUCAACUCUGAAAUGUCCCGGCUUCUUGCAUUCAUAGCAUCCGAUUCCUUCAUUUUUCCUUUCCUUACCUUUAUCCUUGUUGUAGGAACUUGAGGAACCUCUCCUCUGAUGAAAGGACUUCUUCUGGUUGAUGAAUUUUCUGAACUUUCGCACGAGAAGAGCCUCAUCAUCAUCUUCCUCAUUAUCUUCUUCUUCGCUGCUGCUACUGCAAGAUAAAUCCUUGUUAGAAGAAGUAGAUUUGAGGGCUAUUACCUUUUUCUUAUGAGAGGAUUCUUCUUCGCUGUGUUGUUUCAUUGUG
rnacentral:lncRNA from 1 species